AGUGAACGCUGGCGGUAGGCCUAACACAUGCGAGUCGAACGGCAGCACAGUAAGAGCUUGCUCUUACGGGUGGCGAGUGGCGGACGGGUGAGGAAUACAUCGGAAUCUACUUUUUCGUGGGGGAUAACGUAGGGAAACUUACGCUAAUACCGCAUACGACCUACGGGUGAAAGCAGGGGAUCUUCGGACCCUGCGCGAUUGAAUGAGCCGAUGUCGGAUUAGCUAGUUGGCGGGGUAAAGGCCCACCAAGGCGACGAUCCGUAGCUGGUCUGAGAGGAUGAUCAGCCACACUGGAACUGAGACACGGUCCAGACUCCUACGGGAGGCAGCAGUGGGGAAUAUUGGACAAUGGGCGCAAGCCUGAUCCAGCCAUACCGCGUGGGUGAAGAAGGCCUUCGGGUUGUAAAGCCCUUUUGUUGGGAAAGAAAAGCAGCAGGUUAAUACCCCGCUGUUCUGACGGUACCCAAAGAAUAAGCACCGGCUAACUUCGUG
rnacentral:rRNA from 1 species